rnacentral:rRNA from 1 species
CAGUCGCCACGGGAACACGUAGGUGGCGAGCGUUGCCGGAAUUACUGGGCGUAAAGGGAGCGCAGGCGGGCGAGUAAGUCUUUCUUAAAAGUGCGGGGCUCAACCCCGUGAGGGGAGAGAAACUACUCAUCUUGAGUGCAGGAGAGGAAAGCGGAAUUCCUAGUGUAGCGGUGAAAUGCGUAGAUAUUAGGAAGAACACCAGUGGCGAAGGCGGCUUUCUGGACUGUAACUGACGCUGAGGCUCGAAAGCCAGGGGAGCGAACGGGAUUAGAUACCCCUGUAGUCCCUGUCUCUUAUACAA